rnacentral:rRNA from 1 species
UACAGAGGGUGCAAGCGUUGUUCGGAAUUAUUGGGCGUAAAGCGCGCGCAGGCGGUCAUUUAAGUCUGGUGUAUAAACCAAAGGCUCAACCUUUGGACGCAUUGGAAACUGGGUGACUGGAGUGUAGGAGAGGAAAGUGGAAUUCCACGUGUAGCGGUGAAAUGCGUAGAUAUCUGGAGGAACACCGGUGGCGAAGGCGGCAUCCUGGACCGGCACUGACGCUGAGGAGCGAAAGCCAGGGGAGCGAACAGG